AUGGGACCACUGCUGCAGAACUCUGCUUGUCUGCCGCUGCAAACGGGGAACUGGUUCUCGAUGGACACGACGCCUGCAGGAACACAUCAGACCCGGGGAAGCCGUCUACCUGCCACCGCCAUCCGACCUCUGCAGCUCAUCCACAUCACAGCAGUUCGACUGGUCACCCAAACUACUCUGCUCCUUUCACUGGUUACCAGUGGCUGCCCACAUCCUUUUCAAAACAUUGGUAUUUGCGAACAGACCAGGUCCAGACUGCAUCCAGGAAAUGGUCAAACCGUACGUCCCUGCACGCUCACGCCGCUCUGCAUCCGCCAAUCUGCCUGUUGCUACAUCACAGGGAGCUCAACGCUCAACAAAAUCCCCACUUUUUGAUGUCCUGGCUCCUAAAUGGUGGAAUCAGCUCCCCAAUGACGUCAGGACAGCAGAAAGCUCAGACAGCUUCCGGCGCAAACCGAAAACAUACCUUUACCGACUAUACCUGGACUAGUUAUAAUGUAAGUAUAGAGAUUUAACGUUUAGUUUCUCUUACCAGGUGUGGUUUUAUGGCCAAAUAUUCCGUUGAAGAAACAGGGCACUCGGAUGCUGCCGCCGAUGUCGGAGCCCACGCCGAUGACUGCGCCUGCUCCUCCCAGAAUGCUGCCCUCCCCCCCUGAGGCCGGCAGAGGAAAAGAGGACGUUAGCGGAGGAAAUGGAUCAGAUUGAUUUGACGUCGGGCGUCGGGCCUGAUGCCGCCAGCGGUUCGGUUUAACGGUUUGAGACCUGAACUUCCUCCUGGGAUCCUGUCGAAGUCGUACGGGUUGUUGGUGAUGCCGUGGAGGUGGUUGUUGGUCUCGCACCACAUGCACAGCUGACUGGUGUUGGUGACGCCCAUCGGGAUGGCGCCCGCUCGCUUCAGCAGGGCCACCGGAGGAGCGUCGACAGCGGCCACCACUCCUUUCCUGGAAACCAUACCGGCGUUGAAGGGCAUCCCUGCAAGAAGAAACGGGUUGAAAAUGCUCAGAAAUCAGAGACAAAGCUGCCUCAAAAUGUUAAAUACAUGUAAUGUUAUCAGUCAAAUGAUACCAGUCACUAGAUGUCACUGGUUUUUAAAGUGUUUGACAGGAGCUUAGAUUCCUGGAGGUUACCAUGGAGGGCGAAGGACUCUUUGACAGAGAGCGGGACUCCCAGUAAAGGCAGUCGAUCCUCCAGCACCGCCUCUCCUCCAGUUUCCUCCUCAAUCAGCACGUCGACCUGCUUCGCCUCCUGCAGGGCCGCAUCGAACCUGCGUUGCCAUGACAGUGGCAAUAUAACAGAAACAGUCAUUUUAUUCAUCAUUUUCUAGACUAUUUGUUCAAUUGUCUUUUGUCUUUUGUUUGUCCUAAAAUAGUGGGAAAUGUCAAGAAAAUAUUACAUUGAAAAAGCUGCAGUAAAGUAAACACAAGAGACAUCAGCGGACAGGAUGGACGGUUUCUCGCCUGUCUUUUGUCACAGCGUUCAGAAAGGGGUUGACCUCCUGGAUCCGGUGGAUGUAAGCUCGCACCACCUCCACACUCGACACCUGCACAAACGCCACAGUUAGACUCACUGAGUACUGUGAUCCGGGGCUUUUCGGGAACAGGUAUGAUAAUGGAGGCCUUGAAGCAGGCUGGUACGUGGCAUGUCUCCAGGGAGGCGUUGAAGAUGUCUGUGAACAGCUGAUCAGCACAAUGCUUCAGGGCGGAGGGAGGGACAGAGUCCGGGCCGGCUAUUUUCCGGACUACUACUACUUUUUUUUUUUUCUGAGUUCUGCUGUAAACCAGGGUUUGCCGUUUCCCGCGGCCACUUUGUUCAGCAGAUGGAAAUUGCACAGACAGGAAGCUGUGUGUGUCCCUGCACAUUUAUGUGUCCCUUCCUUUGUGUUCAGCUAAAGUUGUGCAACAAUAUCUCCACGUGAUUAUGGCAAUAGCUGUUGUGCUGCAUGUUUUGCAUAUAUAAUAAACAUGAUUGUGCUAGUUA